CAUCUCUAAGGACAGCUCUCCAUCAGAUUAGGCAGUGUGGUACGGGUUUUGAUAGGGUUACCACUUUUCAUGUUUGUGGUUAUUCUACGUUUCUCCCAGACCAUGUCCCAUGGGUCUUACCACCCGACCAUGGAAAGGCGGAUACUUACGGCUGACUUUCAUGCUGCCAAACGAGGACGGCUGCUGCACUGGCUUACAGCUUUCUGCAAAGGAUGUGGUUCUCGGCCUCCCCGACAUGAUGCUCCAGCUCCUCCCUCACCUUCUCUCUUCGUUAAAAAAGCCAGACAGAGGGCAAGACCAUCAAGACCCCAGCCUCUUUACAAUCAGAUGGGGUGCACCAGAGGAGUCCAGGUGCACCCUAACACUUGGCUGAAUGCAGUCACCUUAUCCCAGAGGCAGUCAAUGCUCUGCCACCAUCCCUCAGGGGGGGGAAUCCAAUGGGGGGUCAAUAUGGCAGCAGAUUGGGGGGUCAAUAUGGCAGCAGAUUGGGGGUGUCUAUAUGGCAG